CCUACGGGGCGCAGCAGUGGGGAAUAUUGGACAAUGGGCGAAAGCCUGAUCCAGCCAUGCCGCGUGUGUGAAGAAGGCCUUCGGGUUGUAAAGCACUUUCAGUGGGGAAGAAAGCUUUGGGGCUAAUACCCUCGAGGAAGGACAUCACCCACAGAAGAAGCACCGGCUAACUCCGUGCCAGCAGCCGCGGUAAUACGGAGGGUGCGAGCGUUAAUCGGAAUUACUGGGCGUAAAGCGCGCGUAGGCGGUCUGAUAAGCCGGUUGUGAAAGCCCCGGGCUCAACCUGGGAACGGCAUCCGGAACUGUCAGGCUAGAGUGCAGGAGAGGAAGGUAGAAUUCCCGGUGUAGCGGUGAAAUGCGUAGAGAUCGGGAGGAAUACCAGUGGCGAAGGCGGCCUUCUGGACUGACACUGACGCUGAGGUGCGAAAGCGUGGGUAGCAAACAGGAUUAGAUACCCGUGUAGUC
rnacentral:rRNA from 1 species